UGGAUUUCUCGUGGACCGCAGGAGUGUCUGGGUUUCCCGUCCUCUCGCUCAUCUCUGCUUCCCUCCUCUGAUCAUUGAUUUUCCUGUGGGUAGCUGGAGCCAGGGUGUGUCUACUAUGACCUGGCGUGUCUCCUGUGCAUGUACACUGAACUGGGAAGUCUCUUUAUUUUCUGAGUUGUGGUUUCUGACUGUGGUUAUUUCCAUGACCUGGGAUGUCUCCCACAUUCUCCAAGUGUGUCUUCCCUGACAUAAGAUGUCUCGAGAUGUGUCUUUGUGUCUUCUUGAAAUGGAGCAGGACCAUAUGGUCCUUGCCACCCCCACCUCACCCCCCAUGUCUUCUGCCUGCGUUUUGCCUGUGGAAAACUUUAGUCAGAGGAUAAGUUUAAUCAGAGAAAUGAGAAAAGCUGAAACAAAGGAAAACAGUCAGAGAAAACUAAAUAAUAAUAACGUGGUCAUCAAGCAUAGUCAAGGACUUUUAGUUCUUUCUCAAGGGCUAUAGAUGAUAUUCUGAGCAUAUUCUGUGAGCUGUCUUAUAGUUACCAAAACACCAGGUGGGGAAGUUAACUACGUGAUGACCAGAUUGUACCCAGGACAUGAGCUGCCACAAUUCUGAGAAUUGACUGCAAAGGAAUGGGAACAAACGGACCCUGGAAAUGAAGAUUAACUGUUCCUAAAACAAUCAAGAUGGUGCUGGUCAGACCAAUUUGAAGAUGAUUGUUAGAGAUAACUGUGCUGUUUCUGCAUGUACCCUCCCCCCAACUCUGUCUAUAAAAGCUCUCACUGCCUGCUUUUUGGGGUGGAGUUGGCCUUUGGACAGAUGUCUGCCACCCCCACCCCCCAGUUGCCAGCAUCUGAAAUAAAGCAAAUGUUCCUUUCCA
rnacentral:lncRNA from 1 species